GGGCCGCUAGCUCAACGGCAGAGCAAUCGGCUCAUAACCGACAGGUUCCAGGUUCGAAUCCUGGGCGGCCCACCA
rnacentral:tRNA from 1 species